UACGUAGGGUGCAAGCGUUGUCCGGAAUUAUUGGGCGUAAAGAGCUCGUAGGCGGUUUGUCGCGUCGGCUGUGAAAGCCCGGAGCUCAACUCCGGGUCUGCAGUCGAUACGGGCAGACUUGAGUGUUGCAGGGGAGACUGGAAUUCCUGGUGUAGCGGUGAAAUGCGCAGAUAUCAGGAGGAACACCGGUGGCGAAGGCGGCCCACUGGAUCGGUACUGACACUGAGGCAUGAAAGCGUGGGGAGCAAACAGG
rnacentral:rRNA from 1 species